GGGCCCGUGGCGCAGCUUGGUAGCGCGUUCGGCUGAUAACCGGAAGGUCGAGGGUUCGAAUCCCUUCGGGCCCA
rnacentral:tRNA from 1 species